rnacentral:rRNA from 1 species
GGUGAACGCUGGCGGCGUGCCUAAGACAUGCAAGUCGAGCGGGGCAGGUUUAUACCUGUUCAGCGGCGGACGGGUGAGUAACGCGUGGGUGACCUACCCGGAAGAGCCGGACAACCUGGGGAAACCCAGGCUAAUCCGCCAUGUGGUCCUGUCCUGUGGGGCAGGACUAAAGGGUGGAUAGCCCGCUUCCGGAUGGGCCCGCGUCCCAUCAGCUAGUUGGUGGGGUAAAGGCCCACCAAGGCGACGACGGGUAGCCGGGCUGAGAGGAUGGCCAGCCACAGGAGCACUGAGAAACGGGCCCCACUCCGACGGGAGGCAGAAGUGAGGAAUCGUGCGCAAUGGACGGAAGUCUGACGGAGCGACGCCGCUGGGAGGAGGAAGCCCUUCGGGGUGUAAACUCCUGAACUGGGGACGAAAGCCCUGUGUAGGGGGAUGACGGUACCCAGGUAAUAGCGCCGGCCAACUCCGUG